CUGCAUGGUGGGUGUGGGAAAGAUAUUGUUUCGGUGGGGGAUGGGCUCGCGGCCUAUCAGCUUGUUGGUGGGGUAAUGGCCUACCAAGGCGUCGACGGGUAGCCGGCCUGAGAGGGCGACCGGCCACACUGGGACUGAGACACGGCCCAGACUCCUACGGGAGGCAGCAGUGAGGAAUCUUGGACAAUGGGCGAAAGCCUGAUCCAGCCAUGCCGCGUGAAUGAUGAAGGCCUUAGGGUUGUAAAAUUCUUUCAGCAGGGAAGAUAAUGACGGUACCUGCAAAAGAAGCCCCGGCUAACUCCGUGCCAGCAGCCGCGGUAAUACG
rnacentral:rRNA from 1 species